rnacentral:rRNA from 1 species
UGAGCUUGAUCCUGGCUCAGAUUGAACGCUGGCGGCAGGCCUAACACAUGCAAGUCGAGCGGUAGAGAGAAGCUUGCUUCUCUUGAGAGCGGCGGACGGGUGAGUAAAGCCUAGGAAUCUGCCUGGUAGUGGGGGAUAACGUUCGGAAACGGACGCUAAUACCGCAUACGUCCUACGGGAGAAAGCAGGGGACCUUCGGGCCUUGCGCUAUCAGAUGAGCCUAGGUCGGAUUAGCUAGUUGGUGAGGUAAUGGCUCACCAAGGCGACGAUCCGUAACUGGUCUGAGAGGAUGAUCAGUCACACUGGAACUGAGACACGGUCCAGACUCCUACGGGAGGCAGCAGUGGGGAAUAUUGGACAAUGGGCGAAAGCCUGAUCCAGCCAUGCCGCGUGUGUGAAGAAGGUCUUCGGAUUGUAAAGCACUUUAAGUUGGGAGGAAGGGCAGUUACCUAAUACGUGAUUGUUUUGACGUACCGAC